AGAGUUUGAUCCUGGCUCAGGAUGAACGCUGGCGGCGUGCCUAACACAUGCAAGUUGAGCGAUUUACUUCGGUAAAGAGCGGCGGACGGGUGAGUAACGCGUGGGUAACCUACCCUGUACACACGGAUAACAUACCGAAAGGUAUGCUAAUACGGGAUAAUAUAUUUGAGAGGCAUCUCUUGAAUAUCAAAGGUGAGCCAGUACAGGAUGGACCCGCGUCUGAUUAGCUAGUUGGUAAGGUAACGGCUUACCAAGGCGACGAUCAGUAGCCGACCUGAGAGGGUGAUCGGCCACAUUGGAACUGAGACACGGUCCAAACUCCUACGGGAGGCAGCAGUGGGGAAUAUUGCACAAUGGGCGAAAGCCUGAUGCAGCAACGCCGCGUGAGUGAUGAAGGCCUUCGGGUCGUAAAACUCUGUCUCCAAGGAAGAUAAUGACGGUACUUGAGGAGGAAGCCCCGGCUAACUACGUGCCAGCAGCCGCGGUAAUACGUAGGGGGCUAGCGUUAUCCGGAUUUACUGGGCGUAAAGGGUGCGUAGGCGGUCUUUCAAGUCAGGAGUGAAAGGCUACGGCUCAACCGUAGUAAGCUCUUGAAACUGGGAGACCUGAGUGCAGGAGAGGAGAGUGGAAUUCCUAGUGUAGCGGUGAAGUGCGUAGAUAUUAGGAGGAACACCAGUUGCGAAGGCGGCUCUCUGGACUGUAACUGACGCUGAGGCACGAAAGCGUGGGGAGCAAACAGGAUUAGAUACCCUGGUAGUCCACGCUGUAAACGAUGAGUACUAGGUGU
rnacentral:rRNA from 1 species